rnacentral:misc_RNA from 1 species
AAGUCGUAACAAGGUUUCCGUAGGUGAACCUGCGGAAGGAUCAUUAAAGAACGCCCCGUUUUUUACAAAUUUGGGUUCAAAUGAUCCCCUAACAGCCUAGUAUACCUUACCUUUGCUUUGCUUUGGCGGGUGCCGGCCUUGACGGUCGUUGGGCCUCCGGGCUUGAACCGUAGCGCCCCGCCAGAGGACCCAAACUCGUUUGUUUAGUGAUGUCUGAGUACUAUAAAAUAUUUAAAA